rnacentral:rRNA from 1 species
CACUCCUGCGGGAGGCAGCAGUAGGGAAUCUUCCACAAUGGGUGCAAACCUGAUGGAGCAAUGCCGCGUGAGUGAAGAAGGUCUUCGGAUCGUAAAGCUCUGUUGUUAGAGAAGAACACGUGCUAGGUAACUACUAGCGCCUUGACGGUAUCUAACCAGAAAGUCACGGCUAACUACGUGCCAGCAGCCGCGGUAAUACGUAGGUGACAAGCGUUGUCCGGAUUUAUUGGGCGUAAAGGGAGCGCAGGCGGUCUGUUUAGUCUAAUGUGAAAGCCCACGGCUUAACCGUGGAACGGCAUUGGAAACUGACAGACUUGAAUGUAGAAGAGGAAAAUGGAAUUCCAAGUGUAGCGGUGGAAUGCGUAGAUAUUUGGAGGAACACCAGUGGCGAAGGCGAUUUUCUGGUCUAACAUUGACGCUGAGGCUCGAAAGCGUGGGGAGCGAACAGGAUUAGAUACCCUGGUAGUCCCAUG